GAUCGAACCUGUGCCACAGCAGUGACAACACUGGAUCCUUAACCUGCUGCACCACAAGGGAACUCCUGCUAUAACAUUUUGUCUUCGUCUCCAUAACCAGUAUCAAGAAUUGUCAUAACCAGUGUCAGAGAUUGUGUAAGUUAUAGUAUUUUCACUAUACCCUUGAUGGAAAAACUCAGAGUGCUCAAGUCCCACAGGAAGUGAUGGCAGUGGGACAAUGUGAUUGGGAAGAACUUGCUUUUGAAAUUUGCCAUAUUUAACAGCAGGGUAAACCAUGAAACUAUUGGAAAUGCACAGGCCUUGAGAAGUUUGCUUUAAUGAUUUUGGAAGACAGAGGGAUUUGGCCAACAGUUCAUUUUUAGUUCAAAUCAGUGUGAAAUUUCCUAUACAAUAUUCCAGAUUUGGCCAGGGCAUCCCACUCCAUUCCACAUCAAAGAUAUGCCCUCCAAGGGGAGUUCUGAGCCAUCUGACACACACGUCCCCAGAGGCAUUAGCUGUUUUUUGACUGGACCAUGUAUUGGCUCAUGCUGUUUAAGGUUUGUAAUGUAAAAAACAACUAAAUCUCAAGUCCAUAUUCUCCUAUGGCCAGUCUUGUUGAGGUUAUUUUAUAGAGUUCGAGACUUCCUGGUGUCCAGAUAAAACACUUCAGCAAAUGGCCUCCUUUAGAAGAUACUGUACAUGUGGCUUUGCAGUGUGACUUCACACUACUCAGUGGUCUGGCAGCUCGUGAAUAGGAUUAUUUGUAUCUCUCAUAAAAUCUAAGGUCCUGGAGUUCCUGUUGUGGCGCAAUGGUUAACGAAUCCGACUAGGAACCAUGAGGUUACGGGUUUGAUCCCUGGCCUUGCUCAGUGGGUUAAGGACCCGGCAUUGCAGUGAGCUGUGGUGUAGGUUGCAGAUUGCAGACUCGGCUCGGAUCUGGUGUUGCUGUGGCUCUGGCGUAGGCCGGUGGCUACAGCUCCAACUCGUCCCCUAGCCUGGGAACCUCCAUAUACUGUGGGUACAGCCCUAGAAAAGACAAAAGACAAAAGACAAAAAAAAAAAAAAAAAAAAAAAAAAAAAACCAAAACUAAGAUCCUGAUUCAUGGUCACUCCAGUGAUUGAAGAAUGAGACAGAUGUGAUACCUUGACCGCCAUUCCAAUCCUCACCAUUGAGCCAAUGAGAUGCCUCUGUUGAAACUCAGCUGUAGGUAUGGUUUACCUCUUAACUGAUAGAAAGCAGUGCUUAAAUACAAGCUGCUACAAAGCUUAAAGGAAAUGAUCUUUAGCCCGGUUUCCUAAUGCAUUUAUCACUAUGUUGGCUUCAGUAGGUCAGAGAUAGUACUGAAAUGCAACAGUGUUUUUUCCUUGGAUCCUGCCACUUAAUCUACAGCUUUGAGAAAAUGAUUUAUUUUUGGCUGCUCCUGCAGCAUGCAGAACUUCCUGGGUCAGCAAUUAAACCCACACCACAGCUGUAACCAGAGCCACAGCAGUGAUAACGCUGGAUCCUUAACCUACAGAGCCAUCAGGGAAGUCCUAAAUUUCUCUAAUUGGCUAGAGCAUCACUUUAAUCCUGUGUAAAUCAAGAACUUGAUCUGUAACUAACAAAUAUCCCUAAUUAGAAUUGAGAUGUGAUUUCUAAUAGCCUACAAUGAAAACUGUACCCAGAUGGCAAUGUUUAACUCAUUUAUACAGAUUCUAUGAAGGUACAGCAAGUAGUCUCAAUAUAAAAUAUAUUUGAGAUAUGAGGAAAUGUGGGUAAGUUGAGUGCUAAUCCUAAAACAUAAGCUGACAGUCUUAAAAGUCAUACUAAAGGGUAUUCUCCUGAUUUAGGAGCUAUUUUUUCCUUUGUUAUUUCUUAGAGAGGUUUCCUUUGGUUAAGAAUCAAGCAGUGUCCAUUCAUUUACUUUGCAUAUGAACAAGUAUCAAUUUCACAAACUUAUAGUAACUCUAGUACUUAAUAUUUUCACUUAAAAAAUUUUUUUUGAAGCGCCAGGUUAGCUAUUUAGGAAUUUUGCAGAAGUAGAUUUGUCACUUGGAUAUUUCUAAACAUUGCUUUGAAGAGUACAGAGAUCCAGUUGUUUCGUUCUGAACUUGUAACAAGAUCCUCGCAGCUUAGAUGACAGGUCACCAUAGGCGAAGAGUUUUGUUUUUGGUUAAGAUAUGACAGAUUUUAGAAUUUAGAGUACCUUUCCAAUGCCAUCUUGUUUUGCUACUUUUUUGUUUUUUUUUUUUUAGGGCCGCACCCAUGGCAUAUGGAGGUUCCCAGGCUAGGGGUCCAAUUGGACCUGUAGCUGCCAGCCUAUGCCAGAGCCACAGCAACACUGGAUCCGAGCCAAGUCUGUGGCCCACACCACAGCUCAUGGCAACACCAGAUCCUCAGCCCACUGAGCGAGGUCGGGGAUCAAACCUGCAUCUUCAUGGAUCCUAGUCUGGUUUGUUAACCGCUGAGCCAUGAGGG
rnacentral:lncRNA from 1 species